rnacentral:rRNA from 1 species
GACGAACGCUGGCGGCGUGCUUAACACAUGCAAGUCGAACGGAAAGGCCCUGCUUUUGUGGGGUGCUCGAGUGGCGAACGGGUGAGUAACACGUGAGUAACCUGCCCUUGACUUUGGGAUAACUUCAGGAAACUGGGGCUAAUACCGGAUAGGAGCUCCUGCUGCAUGGGGGGGGUUGGAAAAUUUCGGCGGUUGGGGAUGGACUCGCGGCUUAUCAGCUUGUUGGUGGGGUAGUGGCUUACCAAGGCUUUGACGGGUAGCCGGCCUGAGAGGGGGACCGGGCACAUUGGGACUGCGAUACGGACCAGACUCCUACGGGCGGCAGUAGUGGGGAAUAUUGCACAAUGGGCCGAAGCCUGAUGCAGCAACGCCGCGUGCGGGAUGCCGGGCUUCGGGUUGUAAACCGAUUUCGCCUGUGACGAAGCGUGAGUGACGGUAAUGGGUCAAGAAGCACCGGCUAACUACGUG